GACGAACGCUGGCGGCGUGCCUAAUACAUGCAAGUCGAACGCAGGGGGGACGGGUGAGUAACACGUGGGUAACCUCCCAUCAGAGGGGAUAACACUUGGAAACAGGUGCUAAACCCAUACUGAUGGAUGAACCCGCGGGGCAGGAGCUAGUGGGGGAGGUAACGGCUAACCAAGGCCACGAUGCAUAGCCGACUUGAGAGGUCGAUCGGCCACACUUGGACUGAGACACGGCCCAGACUCCUACGGGAGGCAGCAGUGGGGAAUCUUCGGCAAUGGGCGAAAGUCUGACCGAGCAACGCCGCGUGAGUGAAGAAGGUUUUCGGAUCGUAAAACUCUGUUGUUAGAGAAGCGGUAUCUAACCAGAAAGCCACGGCUAACUACGUGCCAGCAGCCGCGGUAAUAC
rnacentral:rRNA from 1 species